UACGUAGGGGGCAAGCGUUGUCCGGAAUUAUUGGGCGUAAAGAGCGUGUAGGCGGCCUGACAGGUCUGCUGUGAAAACUCGAGGCUCAACCUCGAGAUGUCGGCGGAAACCGUCUGGCUAGAGUCCGGAAGAGGAGAGUGGAAUUCCUGGUGUAGCGGUGAAAUGCGCAGAUAUCAGGAAGAACACCUAUGGCGAAGGCAGCUCUCUGGGACGGUACUGACGCUGAGACGCGAAAGCGUGGGGAGCGAAACAGG
rnacentral:rRNA from 1 species